UCUGAUUGUUUUCUUUUAAUUUUCAUAGGAUAAGUGGUCAUCUGCAUAUGAUGUAAGGACAAUCUUGCUGUCAAUUCAAAGUCUGCUUGGAGAGCCAAAUACGAGCUCGCCAUUAAAUACUCAGGCUGCAGCACUUUGGGGAAAUCAAGAAGAGUACAGGAAGAUGGUCGAGAAACUAUACAAGACAAGUGCAUAGAUUUCUUGUUGCUAUUCAACCGAGGGAAAGGAACGCCGAAUUAGAUUGAUUUACCCCAUAGUUAGUGUUUUUUUUUUUGGUACAACAAGAAGAAAAUGUUUUACUUCUAGAAAUCUUUAAUGCGCAGGCCUAAGCUGUCGUCCAUAGGCCAAAGAAAUUAAACAAGAUUUGCUUAAAAUAUCAGAUCAGUUUGUUGCUUACUUUCAUUAUAAUAGGAAAUGAUACACAGAGGAAAUCCACA